AUGGGGCUGUGCGGGCGGGGCUGGGCGCGCUGCGCGGGCCUGCGGCUCCCCGGGGGGUCGGGUCCGCUCUGGGCGCUGCCGCUGAGCCGGGCCCUUCCUCUCCGGCCGUGCCGUACCGGAGGGUGGGCACCCCCGCGGCCGGAGGGGAAGGCUGGGUACGGGCUCUGGGCGGGCGGGCGAGCGCUGGCCCCGCGGGGGGCCCGCGGGCUGCGGAGCUCCAACCCCUUCACCCGCGGGCAGGAGGAAGAGUGGCGGCGCCGGAACCGCUCGGCAUUGGCCUACAUCGCCGCCGCCGCCGUGGGCAUGGUGGGCAUGUCGUACGCGGCCGUGCCGCUCUACCGUCUCUACUGCCAGACCACGGGCCUGGGCGGAACGACGGGCACCGGGCACAGCUCGGAGCAGAUCGAGCGCAUGAAGCCGGUGAGGGAGCGGGUCAUCAGGGUGACUUUCAACGCGGACGUGCACUCCAGCCUGCAGUGGAACUUCAGGCCCCAGCAGAGCGAGAUCUACGUGAGUGGAACCCUCACGUGGAACCGCGCACACCCGGACGGGGCAGCACCAGGUUCCGCCUCCCCCGCUUCAGUCACCUUGAUCCCGAUUUGCGAAUCUGAGCUGGAAAAACACACCCCUGGGGACACCUGGCUCUGCAGUACUUCCAGUUCAGAAUUGUGGUACCAGGAGAGACUGCACUGGCAUUUUAUAAAGCAAAGAAUCCUACUGACAAGGCAAUAAUUGGAAUCUCUACCUACAAUGUAAUACCCUUUGAAGCAGGGCAGUAUUUCAAUAAAAUACAAUGUUUUUGUUUUGAAGAACAGCGGCUAAAUCCUCAAGAGGAAGUGGACAUGCCUGUCUUUUUCUACAUUGAUCCAGAAUUUGUAGAGGACCCUAAAAUGGCUAACGUUGAUUUGAUCACCCUCUCUUACACCUUUUUUGAAGCAAAGGAAGGACAGAAGUUACCGCUUCCUGGAUAUCAGUAAUGGGCAAUCUCUACACAAUUUGACUUCUGCUACCAGUUGUGAAACUAUAUUUCCGUGGAAGAAAAAAACUGCAGGAGUACUGUGCAAUAUGAAAUUGUAUUAUUAAACCAUUGUGGGCACAUGCUGCUCUUAUAAAAGCACAUACUUCUAUUUUUUAAGAAGAAACCUUAUGUAGCUGGAAUAUUAUUUCUUAGGAAUAGUAUUUCUUCAUCAGACAACAGAAAGGAACACACUGUUCCUGGAAGAGAGAGGUUUUCUGAAGCCAUCUUUUUACAAAGUGAUACAUGUUAUCUGAAUAUGGUGAGCCAAAUUUUUAAACCCAAGGGUAAAUUGAGAUCUUCAUUUAAAUACAGAGGAACAAAUCAGUUUAUUACACAUCUAAAAUUGCAUUUCUGGCUCUGAAGAAUAACUUCUAUGUACCUGCUUUUACCUUUUAAUAAAGUAACUAAUCAGUUCAUGAAAUCUCAAAAGUAAACAAAGUGAGACUGUAUUGCUAUGUAACCCUCCUGUGGCACUGGAGGAUACGAUGAUUCAGAAGAUGAUGCACUCUCUCAAAUUAUUACUGAAUCAGUAGUUCAUUUGGUAAGAGCAGGCUGCUCUCAAACUUAUCAUUUCAAUGUGGAACAGUAAUUUGAAUGUAUGUCGUAUGGGUUCUAUUUAGAAAAAACAUCUUCAAACUUCAAUGUUGUGUUCAACCCAUUUAAAAUAUCUGUACUGCUACUGACUUCACCUGCAUUCUGCAGAGGGCUGUACACCUCUACACAGAUAAACUUGGCUUACGUAUGAAAUGCUCUGAAGGGAAAGGUAGUACAUAAACAAAUACUCUAAAUUGCAGGCUAAAUAAUAUAGGAGCCUCCCCCAAAACCAAAAGGAAACCAACCACAUUCAGACAGUAAGUCCCACAACGCCUGCCCAGCAGCCCAUCAGUUGCUCAGGGGUACCUGAGGUUCCCUGUUUACCAUCCGAACACAUUAGCCUAUAUUUAUGCAACUUUUGGUCAUUAUCUGUGGGGUCAGGAUAAUAACACUUUAUCACAGCUUUGCACAUGAGGAGUUGCAGAGCAAGUUCAAGUGACCUCCUCAUUUUCAGGCAGGAAUUUAUCUCGGCCCAGUAUCUCAUCUGCUAGGCCAGUUCUUUCUACCCCGUCAGCAGAGGAGAUCUAAGAAAGUAAGACUAAUGUUGGUUGGUUUGGAUUCCAUAAAGGUCAUGGGUAUAUCAGAAUAACUUCCAGUUAGUCUCAGUUACGUCUGCAUACCAUAAUUUCAAAAGUGCUUUUUUUGCAAAUAAAUGGAUGCUACCUUUAAAAUGCAUUAUUGUACCAAUUAUAUGUGGUGUUUAAAUAGAUUCUGCAUGACAUUCAUGUCAGGUCUUCACUGUGUAUUUAUUAAAGUUUUUAAACAUUCA